GACGUAGGGCGCGAGCGUUUGUCCGGAUUUAUUGGGCGUAAAGAGCUCGUAGGCGGCUCGUUGCGUCGGCUGUGAAAACCCGCAGCUCAACUGUGGGCUUGCAGCUGAUACGGGCGGGCUGGAGUUCGGUAGGGGAGACUGGAAUUCCUGGUGUAGCGGUGAAAUGCGCAGAUAUCAGGAGGAACACCGAUGGCGAAGGCAGGUCUCUGGGCCGAUACUGACGCUGAGGAGCGAAAGCGUGGGGAGCGAACAGG
rnacentral:rRNA from 1 species